rnacentral:rRNA from 1 species
UACGUAGGCAGCAAGCGUUGUUCGGAAUUACUGGGCGUAAAGAGUGUGUAGGCGGUGCUCUAAGUCUGUUGUGAAAUCUCCCGGCUUAACUGGGAGGGUGCGGCGGAGACUGGAGUGCUAGAGUGCGGGAUAGGUAAGCGGAAUUCCUGGUGUAGCGGUGAAAUGCGUAGAUAUCAGGAGGAACACCUGUGGUGUAGACAGCUUACUGGACCACGACUGACGCUGAGACACGAAAGCGUGGGUAGCAAACAGG